rnacentral:rRNA from 1 species
GCCUCCCUCCGCCGCCACUCAGACUCCGUACGGGAGGCGAGCAGUGGGGAAGUAGUUGGACAAUGGGCGCAAGCCUGAUCCAGCAAUGCCGCGUGAGUGAUGAAGGCUUAGGUUGUAAGCUCUUUCGGCGGGGACGAUGAUGACGGUACCCGCAGAAGAAGCCCGGCUAACUUCGUGCCAGCAGCCGCGGUAAUUC